CAGUACCACGGUAAUACGUAGGUCCCGAGCGUUGUCCGGAUUUAUUGGGCGUAAAGCGAGCGCAGGCGGUUAGAUAAGUCUGAAGUUAAAGGCUGUGGCUUAACCAUAGUACGCUUUGGAAACUGUUUAACUUGAGUGCAGAAGGGGAGAGUGGAAUUCCAUGUGUAGCGGUGAAAUGCGUAGAUAUAUGGAGGAACACCGGUGGCGAAAGCGGCUCUCUGGUCUGUAACUGACGCUGAGGCUCGAAAGCGUGGGGAGCGAACAGGAUUAGAUACCCCUGUAGUCCCUGUCUCUUAUACAC
rnacentral:rRNA from 1 species